rnacentral:rRNA from 1 species
GGCAGUCGUUACGCGGUGACCCUAAAUUUGCCCUCGAGCCGAUCUUCAUUAGCUUGCUUUUGAAGAUCAGCGGCGGACGGGUGAGUAACACGUGGGCAACCUGCCUGUAAGACUGGGAUAACUUCGGGAAACCGGAGCUAAUACCGGAUAAUCCUUUCCCUCACAUGAGGGAAAGCUGAAAGACGGUUUCGGCUGUCACUUACAGAUGGGCCCGCGGCGCAUUAGCUAGUUGGUGAGGUAACGGCUCACCAAGGCGACGAUGCGUAGCCGACCUGAGAGGGUGAUCGGCCACACUGGGACUGAGACACGGCCCAGACUCCUACGGGAGGCAGCAGUAGGGAAUCUUCCGCAAUGGACGAAAGUCUGACGGAGCAACGCCGCGUGAGCGAUGAAGGCCUUCGGGUCGUAAAGCUCUGUUGUCAGGGAAGAACAAGUAUCGGAGUAACUGCCGGUACCUUGACGGUACCUGACCAGAAAGCCACGGCUAACUACGUGCCAGCAGCCGCGGUAAUACGUAGGUGGCAAGCGUUGUCCGGAAUUAUUGGGCGUAAAGCGCGCGCAGGCGGUUCCUUAAGUCUGAUGUGAAAGCCCCCGGCUCAACCGGGGAGGGUCAUUGGAAACUGGGGAACUUGAGUGCAGAAGAGGAGAGCGGAAUUCCACGUGUAGCGGUGAAAUGCGUAGAGAUGUGGAGGAACACCAGUGGCGAAGCGGCUCUCUGGUCUGUAACUGACGCUGAGGCCCGAA